CCUACGGGAGGCAGCAGUGAGGAAUAUUGGUCAAUGGUCGGGAGACUGAACCAGCCAAGCCGCGUGAGGGAUGAAGGUACAGAGUAUCGUAAACCUCUUUUGUCAGGGAACAAAGGCGGGGACGCGUCCCCGGAUGAGUGUACCUGAAGAAAAAGCAUCGGCUAACUCCGUGCCAGCAGCCGCGGUAAUACGGAGGAUGCGAGCGUUAUCCGGUUUUAUUGGGUUUAAGGGGGGCGCAGGCGGUCUGUUAAGUCAGCGGUAAAAGCUCGGGGCUCAACCCCGGCCCGCCGUUGAAACUGGCAGUCUCGAGUUGGAGAGAAGUAUGCGGAAUGCGCGGUGUAGCGGUGAAAUGCAUAGAUAUCGCGCAGAACUCCGAUUGCGAAGGCAGCAUGCCGGCUCCACACUGACGCUGAUGCACGAAAGCGUGGGUAUCGAACAGGAUUAGAUACCCGGGUAGUC
rnacentral:rRNA from 1 species